rnacentral:pre_miRNA from 1 species
AACCAGCGCAGACUGGCGUGGCCCAGGCAUCUCUGGGCGAGUAUCUCUUUGAGCUCCCCACUCUCAAGGAUGACUAGACCU